rnacentral:rRNA from 1 species
CUCUUCGGGGAUGAUUAAACCGGCGCACGGGUGAGUAACACGUGAGUGACCUGCCUUUUAGACUGGAACAACUUACCGAAAGGUGAGCUAAUGCCGGAUGAGUUAUAUAAGUGCAUGUUUAUAUAGGAAAAGUUGGGGAGACCUGACGCUGAAAGAUGGACUCGCGUCCCAUUAGCUAGUUGGUAGGGUAAUGGCCUACCAAGGCGACGAUGGGUAGCCGGCCUGAGAGGGUGGCCGGCCACACUGGGACUGAGACACGGCCCAGACUCCUACGGGAGGCAGCAGUGGGGAAUUUUGCGCAAUGCUCGUAAGAGUGACGCAGCGACGCCGCGUGAAUGACGAAGGCCUUCGGGUCGUAAAGUUCUUUCGACAGGGAAGAAAAUGCCUAUAAGUAACUGUGUAUGUAUUGACGGUACCUGUAUAAGCAGCCCCGGCUAACUCCGUGCCAGCAGCCGCGGUAAUACGGAGGGGGCGAGCGUUGUUCGGAGUGACUGGGCGUAAAGAGCACGUAGGCGGUGUUGUAAGUCAUUAGUCAAAGACUAGAGCUCAACUUUAGUAAGGCUAGUGAUACUAUAAUACUAGAGUAUCAGAGAGGAUUGCAGAAUUCCUGGUGUAGCGGUGAAAUGCGUAGAUAUCAGGAGGAAUACCGUUAGCGAAGGCGGCAAUCUGGCUGGAAACUGACGCUGAGGUGCGAAAGCGUGGGUAGCAAACAGGAUUAGAUACCCUGGUAGUCCACGCUGUAAACGAUGGAUGCUAGGUGUUGGGCUUUUAAGUUC